AGUUCAAAUCCAAGUUUAUUAGCCUGUAAAAGUUUGUUUCCACACAGUAAUCAUAAUGAAUGAAUGUUUAUGGAGCGUAGCAUAAAAAUAUACUGAGUCAGCCAUAGGUUGGAGUCUAUGAUUGAUCACAAAAAUUAAUCAGCAGAUCACAUGGCAUUGCAUCAAAAAGGCAAAUCAGUCCUAGGAAUGCAAACAAUCAGGAUGAAAAGGCAAAACAAGUAAGAGCAGAAUAUCAGAAAGCAAUAAUUAGUUCACGGUUCCUAAUGUGGGUGACAGAUUUCUUUAGAUCAGGUUAUUUACCCACUAAUUCUCGAAAACCAGGUUGAAAGCUGUUGUUAUAAUUUUGCAUUAAACAGUACAUUCUUGGUGAACACACCAGCUGGUCAAAUUCACUAUCAGUCUCUAGGUAUGACUAUUAAAAUGCAGGCACAUAAGAGACUAGGUAUACUCAACAGUCCGGCUACUUCUCAUGAAGCCUGGUGGCCUCAGGCACUCACAGCUAGAAAUCAGAAGCUAAGACAAGACGAGUGGUCAAGAUAUUCUAAUCACUGUCUGGAUGUGUAAACCUUUUCUCCUUUUAACAGCUCUCCAGCAUGCUAUCUGCUCAUCAGAUCUGGGAGGUUCACCUCUCUGCUGGGCAUAGCAAACCUGAUUCCCUGGGAGGGGAAGGGGUGUUGGACAUCCGGCACAGACUUGUGUGUGUCGCAUAUACCAGGGAGGUCAUGGUGGGAAUGUUCCCCACUGGGUCCUGUUUGCUUUGGUGUUGAUCUUCUGUAGGGUUGUGUCUGACUAUCAAGCUGAUGUAUAGACUUUGCUAACAAGCUACUUCUGAUGCAGAGAACACCUGUGUUAAGAAAUUUGGGCAAGCAACAGGGGGUUUUUGACCUGGGCUAACUCUUCUCUCUCUCUUUCCAAAGGAAAAUGACUAGCCAAAAAGAGAUGUAUUUCUUCUAACGUUUGGGCUUUCCUAAAGAAGAGGGUUAGUGUUACACAGCAGAUGUAAAGGAGUAAAGGAAGAAGGGUGUUUUCUUCUCAAAUGUAGGGUGCUUACACACAUCAUAAACCAUGCUGGGAAGAACUGCACAGAAUAAUUAACCUGGGCUCUGACUGACAUCAUGACACCUGCAGAUCUUUCUACAAGAAUUCUGCUGAUUUUUUUUCUAUCCUUUCUAUCUUUCUAUCCAAAGAUCCUUGACUCUACAAGGCAAAGGGGCCUUACACAGGCCAAUGAACCCACAUCUUCUCUUAUGGGGAAGUCCUAUUAGACUAGGAAGUACCUUCAAAGUUUAUUGGGAAAUUAACCCGUUAAGGCUAAUUCCUAAAACCCUUUUUAAGGGAAUGGGCAGUAGCACAACAAACUCUUCCUGCUUAUUAGAUUAAGAAAAAUGCAACAAUCCUUUAAUAUAGUUUGAAAACUUACAAGAGCCAUGGAAAUACUUCCUGAACAUCACAGCUUCUUUAGGCACUCUAGAUGCUUGUCUUGAAAGAUUACAAUUUGCUACCCACAACUCCUUCAUUCUGCCUAUCUUAUGCAAAACUGCCUUGCUGAAGGACCCAGCUACCAAGACGAGUAUGUCCAUCCUAAAAACCAGGUGUCAAACAGAAACAAAGCAAUAGUGGGAGCAGAUGCUGACAUCUUUGCUGAUGCUGAACUUCACCUUUCUUUCCUUUGAUGGUUCCAAUGGUCUCAAACUCUAUUUUAUGUUCUGUAGUUAUUACUCAGAAGGUGUAUUUCUUACCUUUAUAGAUUUGGGGACCAUCAAUCUGUGCCCACCACACGCUGGUGACUGAGUAGAUCCUUACAGCAAAAUAAGGUAGAAAUUAUAACUAAGUCACCUAUAUAAUAUCCUCCAAUUUCAAGAGCUAUCUAGUAAAGCCCAUGGGAAUCUGGGGAGGACUAGGGCCUCCCGG
rnacentral:lncRNA from 1 species